rnacentral:lncRNA from 1 species
GGUUAAGGUCCAGACCUUCUUGGAGAUGGCAUGUGGUUUAAAAGUCACUGGUGAUAUAUGCUGCUGGAAAUCUGUUCUUUAGUAUUUUCUAGAAAUCUGAGAAAGUUUUUCAGGUAUUUUUCUUUUUGUUUUCCUUUUUCUUUUUUUUUUGGUAUGGUGUUGGGGAUCAAACCCAGGACCUCUCAUAUGCUAGGCAAGCUCUCUACCACUGAGCAAAAUCCCACCCCUGUUUUCAGGUUUCUCAUCAGAUAGUUUUGCGAUCUUGUUGGAAGCACUCUGCUACAAAACUGUCUUGAGUGUGGGAAUAUCAUGGGAAUCCCCUAGCCAUUGUGCCCUGAGAACACUGGAAAAACUUGAGAGCUACAGGAAUCUGUCUAGUGCUGGAAAAGUUGUUCAUUACCCUGGAUCCAGAAGAGCUGUGCUAUAAAACCAUUGGUGAAGCCAGUAUGUGGCACAUGCCUGUAAUACCAGCUACUCAGAAGGAGACAGGAGGAUUACAAGUUCAAGGCUAUUCUGGACAACCUUAGCAAGAGCCUGUCUCAAGAAAAUAAGAAGAGCUGGGGAUGUAACUCAGUUUAAAGUAGCCCUGUUUCAAGUCCCAGUACCAAUAAAACAAGACAAAAAAAACCAAAAUACAUUGGUGAGGAUAGAGGAGAACCCUGGAGAAAGAUUUUGACCAAUGUACUGCAAAAACUAGGUCCCAGAGAAGCUAGAGGUCUCUUGCUGGAGAAACUGUACUGUGCAGAAGGUUAUACAUUUGGACCAGAAGCAAAACACUGUUUUCUUCCUGGAUUGUCUCACCAUGUCCUCUUCAAAGAUGCAUAUUAGCU